rnacentral:lncRNA from 1 species
ACAGAAUACAGGGGUAGUUGAAAGGAUGAAUAGGACUAUUAAGGAAAAGCCCAGAAUUUACCCAGGAACAUGGGUAAAUUGGACUAGAUAUCUACCAGCUAUUUUAGCUGAGAUAAGAAUGAAUCCCCACAAGGUGACUAAAUUAUCUCCAUCUGAGAUUUUUGAUGGGAUGACCUUUUCCCACACCCUGGGCCAGGGAACCGCUUGUUAUAAUGUCUGGGGAUUUACAGCUAUACAAGAACAAUAUGUACAGGAAUUGUUGAUAAAACCGAAUGGUAUGUAUGACAAUGUUUCUUCGCAGUUUUCCCUUACCUUCACAGGAACCUACUCAUUCAUACCAGCCCGGUGACAAGGUGUAUAUCCGUCAGCUGAACAGGACCAAGAAAGGAGGAUACCCUUUUGGACCACCUGCUACUGUGAUUGCUGUACCCAUAACCGCUGUCCUCACAGAUUCCCAUGACAUCUGGAUUCACGCAUCCCGAGUGAAGCUGUGUCCAAAGAGGGGAACCAAGGAAGACAACACCACUCCUCGCUCGGAAACAGAAGAAUUUCUCCUCAGCGAAGCAUCAUGGCUUUUACACCAUAUCGUAGAUUGAGAGGAUCAUACGUACCUGAGACCAAGAUUAUGUUGUGCGCUAUGCUUUCUGGAGUUGUUAUACUCCCUCUGAUAUUGUUCCUUGAAUGCCAUUAUGAGUACAAGUCAAUGGCAAGUUUGAAACCUGUUUGUUUCUGAAAAAAGACUCUGACAUGAUGAACAAUUCUUCAAUACCCCCAGCCCAAUUAGGCCUUGGCCCCUCAUCUAGCAUUCGUCACACACGCCCCCUCAAGAACCUUUUUCCACCACCUUUCUAUCAGCAUGCAAUAUGCAAUCAUUCAUUCACUGAACGCAUCUGGAUGAAUUGGACAAAUAGUAACCCUUAUAAGUACCAGUUACCCAUAUGAAAUGUGUCUACAGCUAAUGAAACCGAUGCAUUAUGUUUGUUUAAAGGUUCACAGAAAAUUGUUAGAUCUUAUAACGCAGAAAUGUGCACAGUUAAGGUUGCAUAUCAAUGUAAAUAGACAGGCCUUAUUACUUUUAAUAAUGAUUAUAUAACUGGUAUCAUUAAUUGGAAAAGGGGACAAAUGUUAGUCAUUAUGAACGACACUACAAUUGAGAACUAUACACUACCUUAUAUUUUUACACCUUAUUACUGUCCUUUAUCCUCUACCAUAGAACCAAAAGUCAACAACGACACACACACACACACCUAUUCCGUCCACAUUUAUUAAUACAACUGCCUUCUUACAAGCUGUACAUGUGUCAUUAAAAAUCACUACUUCUGUUGUAACAUUAUGUAAUACAACAAACAAAAGGCAGAAAAGGGAAUGGUAUGACACACUGUUAGAUGGUGCUGGAACCACUAUGGGUAUACUAAAUAGUUAUAGAUAUGGAGACCCUCAAGAAUAAGUUAAACACAGCCAGCAUGCAUAUAGGGACUGGUUUUCAUGCUACUGCAAAUUGGGCUCCAAUUGUUGUUAAAUCACAGGUUACAGGAUUGGAUUUAGAUAAAUCAAUGUAUAAUUAUUUAGAUAAUUUAACUGUUGCAACUAUGAAAUUCACUACAGGUCUAAGUAACUGGAGUACUUGUGCCAUCAGGUAUUUAUGGAUACAACAACAAGGAUUGGCAUUAGAAAACACACUAAUGAUUCCCAAACUAGAGAAGAUUAGAGGGAUGUGUAACCUCACAGAUAAUGAAUGGUUACUUCUAAAACCCCAAUCCAGUAAAUGCAAUGGAUGGUUAACUGGUAAUGUUUCACAUAUUUCAUGCUCAUGCUAUUUUACAUUAUAUCAUACAUCAUCAAAGGAUGUUAAAUUAGCUUGUCAAUUUAACACAUUGCCAGUACCAGUUUAUGAUCUUUUUGCCAAGAAUUUAACCUGGUGGGCACCCACAUACACAGGGGACUAUAUUUUCCCCAAAGAUAACAUACACAGGUAGCCACACAUAUCCUAAAAGGAGAACUCCUUAAGGUGAGUUCACAAAUUCAGAAUGAUUUAGCCCAUCAUUGGUACGAUGCUUCACUGGUUGGUCCCCUACUGGAUCCCAGAUAAUGAAAUCAUUCUUCUAUCAUUUUGUUAUUAUAGUCCUGAUUUUAUUGUGUAUGGUUUUAUAUAACUGUCACCUUACUUGUACAUUGAGGAAGAGAGUACAGAAAUGAAUCCAUAAUGCAGAACAGAAACAAUUAGAAAUUCUCCUCUCUGCCACUGGAGGGUAUCAACCCAUCUUUAAACUGGGCCUUAGGAAUUACCACAUGGGAAUCGAGGUGAAGAAAUUAAUGAAAGUCCCGCAGGGAGUGACUAGCACCCCUGAAAAUACCAUGUGGAAGUUUCUCUGUCCUGGUAAGAUUUUAUCGAUAAGAUGAGCAAUUGUUUUAUUGCUCAAAGAGGGGAAU